GGACGAGGUAUGAAAACAUUAGAUACUUCACGAAAACUUAAGCGUGAUCAUCACACUAUUAAGAGAUUUGUGGCUGAUUUAGAGCAUAGACGGGUUUGUGCAAAUAAAGGUACAUUGAGGAAGAUUUCUGCCAGAUCCAUGCAUCGGAUCAAGAGAGCAGCUGCUAAGAUACCAUUACAUAGCAGCAAACAGAUAUUUGAAGCUGCUGGUGCCUCUGGAGUCCCACGGACAUCAAG